AUGUUUACAUGUAACACAACAGUUGUUUUUGAUUUCACCUCAGGGCAAACCUGGGAACAUGAUGGGACCUCUGCUCAUCUGCUUUUACAAGGUGUUCUGCUGUAUGAUGCUUUGGGAUGGGAAGUGAGAAUGCCAAAGGAAAUUCAUGGUCUCAGAGGUUCCUGUCUGGUCAUACCAUGUUCUUUCAGCUACACAUCAUACCCACCCAAAGACCAACGUAGAGUUGUGGGGUACCAGUGGGUCUCUUAUGUUUAUCCAUUAGUUUACGAUCCUUUGCAUGCAAACAAUGUCAUUGAAAAAUUCAAAGGCAGAACUGAUUUAUAUAGAAAAUCAGGUAAUUUCAGUCUGCUGAUUACCGGACUGGAACAGUCCCACCAUGGAGAGAAAAUUUAUGCAUGGAUUGACCCUGAAAAUGUUGGAUGGCGCACCUACGCAUUUUAUGAUGUCACCUCUACUGUCCUUGUUUAUGGUAUGUAAAUAUUCUUGGAAUACUUACACAGUAAAAUCUGUGACUGUAGCGAAAUAUUGUGUGGUCAGUAACAAUGGACGUAAGAAAAUGCUUCUUCCAAGGUUACAUCUUUUCAAAACAUCAAACAUGAAAUUAAUUUAAAAUUUAAAGUAAAAUAUUGCUCAAAAUGAAGACAAAGAGUCUUGGAUACUUUCUGGCAGUACAGCUUUGUAAAAUGUGUUCAUAUGUUGAUUAAUAGGAACUUCAUACAUCACGAAAAAUGACCUCAAGACUAGAUGGUAAAAAAAGAAGAAGAAAAAAAGUGUCUAAGAAAAGGGAAGAUAGGUCUGAGAAAAUGUCUAGCCAAGUGUUUUUUUUUUUUUUUCUCUCUCUCUCUAGCACAGCGGUUCUCAAUUCCAGUCCUCACGCCCCCCUGCUCUGCACAUUUUGUAUGUUUCUCUUAUGGCUUCAGGCGUUUGUUCUUUUCGAAUGUAAGUGCCCUGCUAAGUGGACAUCACAAGAUAUUCUGCCAUCAUCCAGUUCGAAGCCAACGUAUAUGUUCCAUUCAAAGUGCAUUGAAGUGUGCGAGAAGUGAAUUUAAAUUGUAUUUAUUUACCGAGGUAUAUGACACUUGUCCGUGUGUGAAGACGUUGCACAGCGCAAAUCCAUGAAUGAAUGUUCCGAAGUGAAGUUUUCCACCUGCUCUGGCAAUGAAUGCUGUGUAGGGACCAUGUCAAUGGGAACACAGUUCAUGCAUGGAGCGCACUUCUAACGAGCUGAUUAUCUGAAUUAGGUGUGUUAACAAAGAAGAGAGACAUACAAAAUAUGCAGAACUGGGGGGCGCGAGGACUGGAAUUGAGAACCGCUGCUCUAGCAGAUGCCGAUCAGUCUUGUAUCUUAUGCAGUGAAAUUCAGAUAUUUGUGAGUGUCCAAAUAUUGUUGGGGCCACUUUUUAAAAAUGAUAUAAUGUAGGCCUACCAAUGUUUCUGUAAAUUAUAGCAAGAUCACAGCAGCCCAGCAUCAGUAUGU
ensembl:lncRNA